rnacentral:ncRNA from 1 species
ACCAGGAGGUGAUGAACUAUGCCUGAGCAGGACGAAGCCACAGGAAAUUCUGGUGGAGGUCCGAAGCGAUUCCGAUGUGCAAAUCGAUCGUCCCAGUUGGGUAUAGGGGACGAAAAAGCUGCUUAUCGAAAUAUCUUAGCAGUAGCUGG